GUUAAAUCUGACUGAGAGAGGCAUGUUCUUCUUGGGUUUGGCCACCAUAGAAAUUUUACCUGAAUUGCAGACAUACAGAAUUCACUGGCCAAACAAUUUGAAGAAAAUUGGAAUAUAAGCUACUUCAGUUCUGAUAAAUGGAAGACCAUCGUAUAAGUGGAGGACUCAUGUUACAGUGUGCCCAGGGAAGGCAACAAAUUCUACUUUCUAGUCUCCAGAAAGACAUAUGUUAGCAGAGACAUAUUUGGACCCAACCUAUAUACUUUUUCUCUAUAAAGCAUUCAAAGAACAAUGUGACGAUUACAGUUGUGUGGGAUUUCACCCUUCCUUAACUAUAAAAAGAAGACUUCUUGGGCCAGGCCGGUGGCUCACGCCUGUAGUCCCAGCACUUUGGGAAGCCGAGGCGGAUGGAUCACGAGGUCAGGAGAUCGAGACCAGACUGGCCAACAUGGUGAAACCCCGUCUCUAACAAAAAUAGAAAAAUCAGCUGGGCAUGGUGGUGCAUGCCUGUAGUCCCAGCUACUUGGGAAGCUGAGGCAGGAGAAUUGCUUGAACCUGGGAGGUGGAGGUUGCAGUAAACCGAGAUCGUGCCACUGCACUCCAGCCUGGUGACAGAGCAAGAGUCCGUCUGAAAAAAAAAAAAGACUUCUUAAUAAAAAACAGGCAUACCUCAUUUUACUGCACUUCACUUUUUUUGUGCUUCACAGAUAUUGCUUUUUUUUUUUUUUUUUUUUUUUUUUACAAAUGGAAGGUUUGUGUGGUAACCCUUCAUUCAGCAAGUCCAUUGGUGCCAUUUAUCCAAGAGCAUGUGCUCACCUUGCGUCUCUAUGUUACAUUUUGGUAAUUCUUACAAUAUUUAAAAAUUUUCACUAUGAUUAUAUCUGUGAUGGUGGUCUGUGAUCAGUGAUCUUUGAUGUUCCUAUUGUAAUUGUUUUAGGGCACCACCAACUGCAUUCAUAUAGGACGGUGCACUUAAUUGGUAAAUACUGUGUGUAUUCUAACUGCUCCACCAAUCAGGUGUUGCCUCAUCUUUCUCCUGCUCCUUGGACUCUCAAUUCCCUCAGACACAACAGUGUUGAAAUUAGACCAAUUAAUAUCCCUACAAUGGCCUCUAAGUGUUGAAGUGAAAGAAAGAGUUUCAUGUUUCUCACUUUAAAUAAAAAGCUAGAUAUGAUUAAGCUUAGUGAGUGUAUUAGUCUGUUCUCAUGUUGCUAAUAGAGACAUACCUGAGACUGGGUAAUUUAUAAAGAAAAGAGGUUUAAUGGACUCACCACUCCACAU
rnacentral:lncRNA from 1 species